rnacentral:rRNA from 1 species
CCUACGGGUGGCAGCAGUGAGGAAUAUUGGUCAAUGGUCGGGAGACUGAACCAGCCAAGCCGCGUGAGGGAUGAAGGUACAGAGUAUCGUAAACCUCUUUUGUCAGGGAACAAAGGCGGGGACGUGUCCCCGGAUGAGUGUACCUGAAGAAAAAGCAUCGGAUAACUCCGUGCCAGCAGCCGCGGUAAUACGGAGGAGGCGAGCGUUAUCCGGAUUUAUGGGGUUUAAAGGGUGCGCAGGCGGUCUGUUAAGUCAGCGGUCAAAGCCCGGGGCUCAACCCCGGCCCGCCGUUGAAACUGGCAGUCUCGAGUUGGAGAGAAGUAUGCGGAAUGCGCGGUGUAGCGGUGAAAUGCAUAGAUAUCGCGCAGAACUCCGAUUGCGAAGGCAGCAUGCCGGCUCCACACUGACGCUGAGGCACGAAAGCGUGGGUAUCGAACAGGAUUAGAUACCCUGGUAGUC